ACCUAUUGGAAAUUGCUGAGAUGCCUCAAGACCGAAACAGAAUUGAUCUAUCGAAAAAUGAAUUUGACUUGACAAAUGAACGGUUUCUUGUCCCUGAGAUGAUCUUCCAACCUGCCAAUUUGGGUAAUGAAUGAAGCUGGGCUAGCAGAAUGUAUUGUUCGAGCUGUCAAUUCGUGCCAUCCACAUCUCCACCCUGUACUCUAUGAAAGCAUAAUUUUAACUGGCGGAAGCACACUGUUUCCUCAGUUUUCUGAGAGAUUGUAAGUUCUUUGUCUUAUCCACUAUACCUUGUUCC